GACGAACGCUGGCGGCGUGCUUAACACAUGCAAGUCGAACGAAGAGCGAUGGAAGCUUGCUUCUAUCAAUCUUAGUGGCGAACGGGUGAGUAACGCGUAAUCAACCUGCCCUUCAGAGGGGGACAACAGUUGGAAACGACUGCUAAUACCGCAUACGAUCUAACCUCGGCAUCGAGGAUAGAUGAAAGGUGGCCUCUACAUGUAAGCUAUCACUGAAGGAGGGGAUUGCGUCUGAUUAGCUAGUUGGAGGGGUAACGGCCCACCAAGGCGAUGAUCAGUAGCCGGUCUGAGAGGAUGGACGGCCACAUUGGGACUGAGACACGGCCCAGACUCCUACGGGAGGCAGCAGUGGGGAAUCUUCCGCAAUGGACGAAAGUCUGACGGAGCAACGCCGCGGGAGUGAUGACGGCCUUCGGGUUGUAAAGCUCGGUUAAUCGGGACGAAAGGCCUUCUUGCGAAUAGUGAGAAGGAUUGACGGUACCGGAAUAGAAAGCCACGGCUAACUACGUG
rnacentral:rRNA from 1 species